rnacentral:ncRNA from 1 species
UUAAAUUAUAUGCGCAUGUCAGGGGCUCGCAUGCAAGCCUCCGUGGGCAAUGAAGGUGAAGGCCAGAAUCCACCCAGGCUGAGGUGGGAUCUCGAGGCCUCUCCAGUUCUUCGAAGGUGCGUCACCCACCCUUUUUGCCUGCCCAGUCUGGGAGGUGGAGCACGAGCAUAUCUGUUAAGACCCGAAAGAUGGUGAACUAUGCCUGGGCAGGGCAAAGCCAGAGGAAACUCUGGUGAAGGUCCCUUAGCGGUCCUGAUGUGCAAAUCAGUCAUCAGACCUGGGUAUAGAGGUGAAAGACUAAUCAAACCAUCUAGUAGAUGG